AUUGAACGCUGGCGGCAUGCCUUACACCUGCAAGUAGAACGGCAGCACGGGUGCUUGCACCUGGUGGCGAGUGGCGAACGGGAGAGUAAUACAUCGGCACGUAACUUAUCGUGGGGGAUAACGCAGCGAAAGCUGUGCUAAUACCGCAUACGCCCUGAGGCGAAAGAGGGGCAUCGCAAGACCUCGCUCGCUUAGAGCGGCCGAUGGCUGAUUAGCUGGUUGGUGGGGUAAACGCCCACCAAGGCGACGAUCAGUAGCUGGUCUGAGAGGACGAACAGCCACACUGGGACUGAGACACGGCCCAGAAUCCUACGGGAGGCAGCAGUGGAGAAUUUUGGACAAUGAGUGCAACCCUGAUCCAGCAAUGCCGCGUGAGUGGAGAAGGCCUUCGGGUUGUAAAGCUCUUUUGUAAGAGAAGAAACACCGGCUCUAACACAGUCCGGGAAUGACGGUACCUGAAGAAUAAGCACCGGCUAACUACGUGCCAGCCGCCGCCGUAG
rnacentral:rRNA from 1 species